GAGCAUAACCAUUUUAGUUAGUCACAUAUAUUUCCAAGAUGAACUCGAAGGCCUUUCUUAUCGCAUGCAUUCUCUUAGCUACCAUCGUCUUCUCUCCCCCGUCCACUUGCACUGCUCGAGAAUUGGCCGAGCGAGGUGAGAUUUUAUUUCCAACAUUAACUUAAGAAAAGCAGUUCAUUUUGUGUGUGUAAUCUCUGUGUACGCCGGCGUUUUUUCAUGCAAACAAACUUUUGUUAUAAAACUGAUGAGUCAACCUUUACUUUUACUUCCAGCAUUAAUUAAGUUAAGAUAAUCAUUAAUUUCAUGUUUUGUAUGUAUAUAUUAUUUAAUUAAUCUGUCGUAAGCUAUCUUAUAUAUAUAUAUAUAUAUAUAUAAAGAUGAUUCUGCUAUAAUAUCAGAUUAUGUGAACAUGAAUUUGCUAUAACAUGCGUGAAUCUUGCAGAUCCCAUCCCCACCUAUAAACCAGCAGGUUGCCCAAAUCCUUACAAGCGUAAUUGUGGGCGCCCUUAAGAUUAGAAGCAAGCAAAGUUGAGUGCUGCUUAAAAGUAUGGAGAGCUUCUGCUGUCUUUAUCAAUAUGUAAAAUGAUCAGAACUAUUUAUGUGAGAAUACUAAAUAAAGUUCUCCAGUGGAUUAGAAGAAGCAAGCAAAGUUGUGAAGUAUGGACGGCUCAUAGUGUCUUUAUCAAUAUGUAAAAUUAAUGUUAUGUUGAUAUGGGAACUAUUUAUGUGAGAAAAAUAAAUGAAGUUCUUAGUGAGUGAGUUUCAUGGUAUCUUUUGAGGUUUUAAUUUCGGUCAUUAUGCAGUCCUCUGUUUGAAAAUUACAUUGAAUCACAAAAACAAACACUCUCUAACUCUAAUACCAUAUCAAUUUAACUUCAAAGCUGCACAGCCCUUGUUUGAGUGGGGUUUUUUCCUUUAAUUUUGUCAAAUGACAUGGAAAAGAAAGUGAUUUCAUAAUUUAUCAAGAAUCUCUCUAUUAUUUUUUAUUUUAUUUUCCAUUAAUGCAAUACUCAGUUGAACAUGUCUCUUCGGGCUGUAAUAUUAACAUGUAAUAUUUUAAUUGUUUUUUUAAUUAUUAAUUUUUAUUUCUAAUUUUCUCGGUCUUUACCAACCAAAAAAUAUUAUCAAUAAAUAGUGACUAAAAUAGCAACAUUAUUUUUUAUUGAAAAACAUCACCAUAAUUUAUCGAUGAUAUUUUUUUUUGUUAGUAUUUAAUAAUUUUCUAACACUGACUAGAGUUUUAAAGGAUACCAAUCGUCCCACCAUAGAUGAGUGGUCUUACCAUUUCAAACGGUUUGAUGAAUUGCUUUUGUACUAUUAGAGAAUAAUAUAAAUUAUAUCUUGAGACCUCAUUUAACAUCUUAAACUUUUAGGUUGAAUUGGUUUUUUGAUAUGGUAUCAGAGCCUUGAUGACCAAGCGGUCACGAGUUCAAAUCUCACCACCCUCAUUUAUUUGAGAAAAAUUAAAGAUAAGAUAAUAUGAGCUCAAGCCCAAAAGGCUUUCUUUUGAGGGUGUGUGUUAGGGAAUAAUGAGUUGAAUUAGUUCUUUAACACGUACAAAUGUUAUAAGCUAGAGUAAUUAUCAUCGAUGUUAAGAAUAACUAUUGGGUACUUUAUGGCUCCAAAAGCUAUUGCAUAAAUGUAAUUACAUCAUUUUUAAGCAACUUUUGUACUAGUUGUUAGUAGUAUAUUGGCUCUUGCUCCGCAGCAGAUCAAUAUUAAGAAUAUAGUUGUUGUAACCCAUUUUUGGGUCCCCACAAAAUAUAUAUAAAAAUAUAUAGCCAAAGGAGUUUAGAAAAAUAAUAAGAGGUGGGAGCGCUCAGAAAGAAUCAGAAAAAAAUUCAUUGAGGAGAUUCAGAAAUACAAGGAGUGAAAUUUUACAGUAUAUAUUUGACUGAGGAGAGCCCUGUUGGAAGAGAAAAUUUAAUUUGAAGAGAAAAGGGCCAAAAUUGGAUGUUUAUGGACUCAAUUGGAUUUUAUUGAAGGUUUAUUUGAAUUUAUAGAGGUUUUGAUUGCAAGGAAAAUUGAGUUUUAAGUCAAUUUAGGCUUUAAUUGGAAGAAAUUAAAGUUCUGAGGUCAAAUUAUAAUUUUUGAGAGUUGAUUUGGUUAAAUCAAGGGCUUAAUUGCAUAAAUAUUGAAGUUUAAGGGCCAAUUAGGGAAUUAAUUGAAGAAAUUCAAAACCAAGGACCACAUUGGAAAAGGCGCGCAAGUAUAGGGGCUGCAAUUAACAAAAUCCGGGGGCCAAAUUGAAGAAAUUGAAAGUUUAAUGGUCAAGUAGGGAUGAGAUUGAACGAAACUGAAAGUCGGAGGACUAAAUUGAGAAUUGGCAAAGAAAUCCCUAUUUUUAUCAAAAACGGCGCCGUUUUGCAUUUAAAAAAAAAAAAAAAAAAGAACCAGUUACUGUUCAUUUUCUUCCCCACCAAGCUGCCCGAGUGGCCGACUUCCAGGCGUGUUUUCUGCCUCGUUUGGCCCCCAAAUCCGACAAAAAAUGCGCCAACAUCUCCACCUGAAACCCCUUUAUCCCGGAGAAUGGUCCGGUCGGGUCGAAAAAUUUAGAAACGGCUCCGUUGAGUGGCUCUAAGUGGCCACCUCGGGCAGUUCACAGCCUUGAGCUGCCAAAUUUGGCAGCUCGAGGUGCACACUUUGAACCAACGGUUUGGAUUCCUCGAGUCGAAUCAAGGGCUGAGAAUUUUUCCCCAUUGAAGACAAGAUUACCCUCUUUCCAGCCCUAGGAGAAAUUUUCAUGCUGAAACGGUUGGCAGGAGGGAGCUCAAAAUUGGGAUAAAAUCAGCUUUUCCUGCUCGGUUUUCCUGCAACCAGCCUUCUCUUUCUUUUUUUUCUCUCCGCCGUGGCUUCCAGCCGCCACCACUGAUCUCUCCACUGUCCUUACCACAAAACACCACAUCCCAUCCAUCACCCAGCAGCCUCACCACAGGCCACAGUACCCCUCUUUUCCUCCCUCUCCUCUCUACAAAAAUCUCCUCCUCUGCCAUCGUGAUUCAGACAGCCUCCACACCGACAGCAGAGGUAGCAACCAUCUUGCCCAAAAGCUCUCUUCCACUCCUACCAGCAGCAACCGGAGUAACAGCUCCUUCCUCAGUCACACCAACAGAUCCAGCCGAGAGCUUUCCUUCUCCUCUGCAGGAAUCUGCUCCUGCUUCUUUCAGCCGGGACUAGUGCACGCCUGUCGCCACCCAGCGCCACCGUGAGCCAUAGCCGGAGACAGCAGCCACGAUCACUCAUUCCAGGUACCUCUCCUCUCCCUUUUUUCUGUCCCCUCUUCCCUGUUGUUUUCCUCGGCAUGCAGAACGUGAAUUCACGUUCUGCAGCAAUGGAAAUAUAAUUAGCUGGUUACUGUGCGCUGCACAGUAACCAGCUAAUUAUAAGCACCUGGUUAAUAUGCGCGGUUACUGUACAGGUCAUUAUAUAUUAUGUAUAUUAUAUUGUGUUUUGUUUAUUUAUAUAUAGAUAUAUAUAUAUAAAAAAAUUUAAUUAAUUUCUUCGAAAAAUUAUUUCAAAAAAUAUGUGAUUUUAUGUAAUUUUUAUUACUGUAUUUUGAUCAAUAUCGGUUUGUAUUUUUAUACUGUAAAGAUACAAAUCCGGUAUUAAAAUACCCGGUUUUCGUCAAGACAUAAAAAAAAAAUGUUUUGUUUUCAUGCAUACGGCCUAGUCUCUCCAACAUAUAUAUAUAAAUAUUAUAACAUCAUAUUUUUCACACAACAAAGAAAAUUUCAAAACAAUAUAUGUAUUAGCAUGCAUUUUGGCUUUAAUAACCAGUUUAUUCAAGCCAUGAGAACUAGGCCAAUAUUUCAAAAAUUCUAAAAAAAUAUUUUUGUCCUCUUUUAGUAUAUGGGAUUACGAAUUUAUAUGUAAAACGUAUUCCUGAUGUUAAAAAUAUGAUUUUACAUAGACGUUAGAACGGUUAGGUUUUACCCGAUAAGAUAAGAACCUCCUUAUUGAGGAGGACUUUUCUUGAACCAUAGACGGACCAACAACUAGGAAACAUAACGAGAACUUGAAUUUUAUCAGACAAAUAAACAAUGCAGCUUACCUUAGGUAGGGCAUAUUUGGGGUGCUAAUACCUUCCCUUUACGCAACCAGUCCCCGUACCCAAUCUCUGAGACCAGUUAGGGUUCCUAGUGACCAAAAUACUAGGUGGCGACUCCCAUUCCAUUUUCUUCCAACAAAAGACAAUAUUUUCUUGUCUCCCCACAUUUGCCAGAUAAAUAUCAUACACACUUCCUAGUUUUAAAAGUGGAAUACUCGCCGCGACGCCGCGCACCCGCGACAGAAUGGCGACUCCACUGGGGACCUUGUGGACUAAGCUUUGUUUUUGUCUGAUUUGUUUUUUUGUUCUCUUGUGUUUUUAAUAUACCUUUCCUUUUGUUAUAUGCUUAUAUGCUUUAAAUAUUUUUACACAUAUUGUUCAUGCAUUUGUAUAGAACUGUCUCAUACAUCUUAUAGAACUGUCACAUGCAUCACAUACUUUGAUUUUGAGAAGCACACACAAGCUUUAAGUUAGGUGGGGGAUUAGCGAUUUGCCCUAUGACUAUCGGUCAGGGUUCAGAUGCGUGAAACACCCAACUCAUAUCUGAGUGCCCGCUUGGUAAUGGUGGGUAUACGUACUUUAACCGUUCCUUGCGACGCCCCCAUACUGUCUUUACGAAGAACGUCACUGGGCAGAUAUGAGACCCUUUUAAAGACCAGAUAGAAAACCUACCCAUUCUCACCUAUAUAAAUAGAACUUGUCCUUAGGAUAUCUAUCUUACGUUCAUUUGCAUCAUGAUUAAUAAUUCAUCAAUCCAGGUUUUUAAGCCGAAAUCUUGCCAAAGGAUUACGAAAGUCAUGAAUCGACUUUAAGAUAUACAUUUGCACGAGCAUCAUAUUUUCAUCACGCAUUUGUUUUUAAUUCAUCAUAUGCACGACAGAUCGUGAAACAUAGGUCCCACAUCCAAAGUCCACAACACCCGGUCUAGAUCGAGAAUGGAGAACGAAGAAAGAGCUCACUUAGAGUCACAUUAUCAGACCGAGUUGGAGUCCGUAAAAAAUGAAGUUUCUCGACUAACCGACUUACUCGAGCAGCUUUUAAGAGCUAAGAAUGGGGAGGGAACAUCAGCACAACAGCCUGAAGGAGCGCCAGCAGCUCACAUCCCUCAAGCAUCUCAAAACCAGGGGGCAAACUCGGCCAAUGAACAACAUUUUGUGCCUGUCGCCCCUAUCCAGCCAACUCAUGCUCCAGUCACUGUGGACUUAACAGCGGAGGGAAUCCCGGAUAAUAGGUCUCCCGGUUUGAUGGACCAAGACAAGCUGUCUGCUUUGGAAGAAAGAUUACGGGCAAUUGAGGGUAAUGAUUGGUUUGACCCUAUGCGAGCAGCCGAAGUAUGUUUAGUACCAAACAUCGUGGUGCCAAAAGAUUUUAGGAUACCAGAGUUCAUUAAGUAUACUGGUUUGGAAUGCCCAAACACUCACCUUCGAUCCUACUGCAACAAAAUGGCAGAAGUAAUCCAUGAUGAUAAAUUGCUAAUCUAUUUCUUUCAAGAUAGCCUAGCAGGAUCCGCUUUGAGCUGGUACAUGAAGUUAGACAGUGUCAGGAUUAGGAGCUGGAGAGACUUGGUGGAGGCUUUCCUUAAACAGUACAAGUUUAACAUGGAAAUCGCUCCUGAUCGAACAAGUCUAAUGUCAAUGGAGAAAAGGAGCCAAGAGUCGGUAAGGGCCUAUGCGCAAAGGUGGAGAGAUGAGGCAAUGCAUGUCCAACCCCCUUUGAUAGAAACAGAGAUGGUGACCUUGUUUGCCAAUACCUUUAAAGCACCAUAUUAUGAGCACCUAAUGGGUAGCUCAUCUCAGCAUUUCUACGAUGCGGUACGCAUAGCUGAAAGAAUAGAGCAAGGGAUUAAAGCUGGACGUAUAGCUGAGCCAUUGGAGAUAAAGGGUUUUAUUGGAAGAAAAAUGGAAGGUCACAUUUACGACUUUGAAGGUGGGUCCAAGGGCAAUAUAAUGGAUUCACUCAACCCACAAAUACCUACCCCUCAUGUUGCCCACAUAAACUUUAACAAACCAUUUUCCUCUAAUCGAGCAAAUAACCAGUCAAACAACCAAAACAACUACCAAAGACCAAAUACAAGGUACAUCUCAGAACAACUACCGCCAUUACCCAUGCCUUUGAAGGAAAUGUAUGCCAAACUACUGAGCAUUGGACAAAUAGCUCCUAUCCCUACAUUACCACUACAACCACCAUUCCCCAUCUGGUAUAAGCCCGAGUUGACUUGCGAGUACCAUGCUGGUAUUCCCGGACAUUGUCUUGAAACGUGCUACGCUUUCAAGAACAUGUUGUUGAAGCUCAUCAAGAUAGGAUGGGUGUCGUUUGAAGACACACCCAAUAUCAAUUCAAAUCCAUUGCCUGGUCAUGACAAAAGUAAUAGGGGAUAAAGGGUGUUGCUACCCAAUUUUUGACCCAUGUUUUGAUAAAUUUUUUAAAAAAUCCAAAAAUAGCGAAAAACAUUGAAAAUCCAAAAAAAUACAUUUUUAAUACAUUUGCAUCGUUUUUAGCAUUUUUAGCAUCAUCUUAAAAGAAUUUAAAUUUUCAACGACAUUUGGAACGCGUUCAACUUUUAACGCGUUAUUUUUAAAAUCAUUGAUUUUCUUCAUUGAGUCGACGUUGAUAUUGCUCGUUUUCAAAAAUACAAAAAAAUUAAGAAAAAUCAAAUUUUACAAAAAAGAAAGAAAGUUGAGGGACCAAUUUUGAGAUCCAUGCAACAUUUUACCUAUAAAUACUGGUUCACAACUCAAACAAAAGGGGGGGGGGGUAAUUUUGAAAUUUGAGGGGAGAGGCAACACAAAAACAGAAACCCUAAAAGCCUAAUUUUUUCUCCCCUCACGGGGGAGGCAGCCGCCAGCCCCCCACCGUUUGAUUUUUCUCUUCUCCCUCACCGAAAGAGAGAGCCGCCAGCCCCCCCUGGAUUAUUUUUCUCUUCUCCCUCAACCGGACAACCGAUCUUCCCCACCCUCACAAAUCAGCCUCACCGAAACCCACUGACCAGACGAUUUUCCUCCUCCCCUUGUCCUCUGCCAAACACAAACCAGGCCACACCCUUCUUCCCCUCACAGGAGCUAAACCUUCACCCAGCCAUACUCUCCCCUCAUCUCACCAGGGCUGUUCCUUCACAGCCGGUUUUCCCUCAGCCACUGUGAACGCCAUCUCCAGCCGCUCCCCCAUUUCAACAGAUCUUCCCUCUCAGCUGCUCCCUUCUCCAGCCGCCAGCUCGCCAGACCAAAAGGAGGGCAGAGCCGUUCCCCUUCGUUCUCCCCUCUCGUCGGCCGCCUCCUCAUCUUCCCCGAUCUCUUCAUCUCCAUCAACACCGAAGCUUCAUCCAGCAGCAGCCAACACACGGCAGCACCCACAGAGUCAACAGCCGUUCCCAUCUCCACCCGACAAACCCAGCAGACCCGAACCGGCCACCAGCUGCUGCACAGCCAUCGCCGCCCAAACGCCAGACCUGCCACCCAAAGCAGAGGAGAAGACGAAACCCACAACAAAUUGACCCGCCGUGUAGUCGAAGAAGGAGAAGGGAGAGAAGCCGAUCUGGACCAAAAAGAAAAAAUUAAAAUCAACUGCUGUUGUGCGUUGUUUCUCCUUGUUGCAGGUGACGGUGACCUUCACCGCCGACGUAGGGAGACAGAGAAGAAGAAGAGGUUCCCGAUCCACCGGUUUCUGCCACCUUCAUCGGCGGCGGCGCGUGGAACCACGCGCCGCCAGUGACGCCACUGUUCUGGCAGCUCCAGAAGUCGGCCUGACACUGUUCCGGGUUGUUUGGUUCAUUUUGUAAUUUUCAAAUUGUUUAAUGUAAUAUUUGUGUAAUUUUGAGUUUUUUUUUAUAAUUUGUACUUUGUGUAAAUGUGGAGGAAAAAGAAAAAAAGAAAAGAAAAGAAAAGAAAAGAAAAAAACAAAUAUUAAUAGAAAAAGAGUUGUGCGUGUUUUGUUUUUUUGUUAUGUAUAUUAUUGAAUAAAAAGAAAAAAAAUGAAUUUAAUUUAUAUGCACAAAUAUCUAAAGGACAGAUAAAAAUCAUGUUGUAUUUUCCAUAAAAAUGUAGAACAUGUAUCUACAUAUAUUUUGGGAACUAAUAACUGAUUUAUCAAAGCCUUAGAAUUGGGCUAAAAUUUUAUUUUUAAAACGCAUCAAGUCCACGAAGCAGCUUACCUCAGGUAGGGUGCGUUAGGGGUGCGAAUACCUUCCCUAACCACAACCAGUCCCUUACCCGCGAAUCUUUGACAAGACCAGUACAUCAGGUUUCCUAGUAGCCCUCAAUAAAUUACUAGGUGGCGACCCCAACGAACCAAGCAAGCAAAACACAUAACAACAGAAAAAUCGCCAGCAGAUGCCGCGCGGAUUUUGACGUGCGACAGAAUGGCGACUCCACUGGGGAAGGUAUUGUUUCUGAUGAUAUUGGACUAAGCUUUGUGUAUUUGAUGUGUUUAUGUUUUGCAUUUUUGUCUUGUUUUAUUUUUGUUUUAUUCAUGCAUUUUGUAGAAUUGUCUCAUGCAUCACAUAUUUUAAUUUUUUUAAAGCACACACAAGCUUCAGGUUAGGAGGGGGACUAGCAGCUUACCUUAUGACUUUUAGUCAAGGUUUAAGUUUGUGUAAACCCCAACUCUUCGUUGAGUGCUUAGACUGGUAAUAGUUGGACAUGUGCCAUCUCAUUGCCUACAAGCCCCCAUAUUGCCUCCACGAGGGCAAUCACUGGGACAACAAGAGACCCUUUUUAGAGACCAAGUAAUAAACCUACCUUUUGUCUCACUUAAAAAAUUAGAACCUGCCUUUAGGAUGUGUGCUCCGUAUAUAUUGUUUUGCAUCAGGGCAAACCCUUCUUGAAGCAUCUUGAACUCAAGACUUUUGGGUGACCCAAUGGCCGUCACUUAGAAAAUUUUCAUUGUAGAGUUUGGGCAAGAAUCAAGAUUCUUGUUUCAUCAUACAAGAGUUACGACCAUAUGUCACCCCUCGAAGGGCGAGUUCAUCAUAUAGUUUACAUGUCCAUACAUUUAUCAUGCAUGUACCGGGUUGAAAGAUAGGUUCUCCCACACAAGUUGUGCUACGCGCGAAUGAAGAAAGAUGAUAGAAGCAAAGAAAGUUGUCGGAGAAAGGCUCAUUGUCAAAAGGAAGUUGAGAGCAUCAGAGGUGAAGUAGCCAGAAUCAGAUAUGCUUGAUCAAGUGUAGAGCAUCAAAGGGAAAGGGAAUGUCUACACAGUCUUCUGUGGGAACACUGCUUGUCCAUGUCUCAUUGAAGUUACAUCUCCAUUUUAGUCCUGAACAACAACAGCAAUGCCUUCAGUCAUCAACUAAGGACAACUUUGGUUCUUGUUCAGUUGCACUGCUAAUUGUUCAUCGCCUCCAUAUCUUUCAAUGACACCAAAUAAUUGCUAGCCUUCUGUGCAUGGUGCAUUAGUCUUCUUUGAAGUUACCCCAACUGUUAGCUCAAUUCCAGUUCAGCGGCACAAGAUGUAAAAAAAAAAACAAAAAAAAAACAAAAAAAAAACCCCGAAAAAAAAACUGAAAAAAAAAACCAUGAUUCGACCCUGAACUUCUACGUUGCAGAGCUCUCUCUGUAGAUAUUUCUUUAUGGAUCUGCAAGUGGGGAAUGCAAGAGGGGAUGUAGUAUUUUCAUAUGCUACAAAAAUUCGCCCCAUCAAUUUCAGAACCGAAACACUGGAGUAGGCAGAAGGGUCACACCUGGUCUGAAAACAUGAGCCGUCAUUAAACUUCAACGCGGCAGAGCUCUCUCUACAAAAAUCCGUUUGUGGCUCUGCAAGUAGGGAAUGCAAGAGGGGAUGCAGUACUUUCAUAUGCUACAAAACUUUGGCUCAUCAGUUUCAGCACUGAAACACUGGAGUAGGCCGAAGAGUCAGACCUAGUCUGAAAACAUGAGCAGUCGUCGAACUUUGACGUGUCAGAGCUCUCUCUACAAAAACCCGUUUGUAGCUCUGCAAGUGGAGAAUGCAAGAGGGGAUGUAGUAGUUUCAGAAAAUGUGAAAAUUUAUGCCACCAGUUUCCGCAUCGAAACACUGUAGUAGGCAGAAAAGCCAGACUUGAGCUAGAAAACAGGAGCAAAUAUAGAACUUCACCGUGGCAGAGCUCUCUCUGCAGAAACCUGUUUGUAGAUCUGCAAGUGGAGAAUCCAAGAAGGGAUGCAGCAGUUUCUGAUCAUCUAUAAUUUUCUCUCAUCGGUGUUAGCUUGAAAAUGCAAAAGAAGGGAAAAGAGACAAACCUCGGCUGAAAAAUAGAAAGAAGAUUGAAACUUCAACAGAGCAGAGCUCCCUCUACAGGUGUCUGUUUGCUGCACCAUCAGUGAGGAAUCAAAGAGGAGACAAAGGAGUUUUAGAUUCAUCAAGUUCUCUUCCAGUUUUGACAAUGUGUGAUUCCACACGUCGGCAGUGGCAAUGCUGCAAGUCUCCGGGUGCUGCCAAGAUUACCUAGCUGUUGGAAGGUUUCCAACAAUCCACAAACGACCACAACAACAGGGGAAGAUUGACAUGAUGUUGUGAAGAUUGUCAAAAGAAUUGAACAAGCUAUAAAGAGAGGAAAGAUUGAAGGUUUUGCCAUGGAUUCCAGAACUAUGAAGAGAGUUGAAUCAGAAGAUGACUCUCAAUUGAGAAACCUCAGUUAUUUUGCCUAGUCAAGUCUCGCUCAAGCAUCAACUACUCCAAUGUCUCUGCCAAAGAUAGUCAUUCCUUUGCCAUGUGGGUUUAUUUACCAGCAUCUGCCAGAUUCCAGACUUUUUCCUGACUCCGACAAAACCCAUGCAACCACCGUUUUCUAGGUGGUAUAAUCCAGACAAGAGAUGUGAUGUCAUGGUGGGGUCCUUAGCCAUUUCAAUUGAAUAAUUGCAAGAAUCGAGUCCGCAAAUUGGUGAGCAAAAGACGAGUGGAGUUUGCGAAGGAGGGUGUCAUUGGCUAAAUUGUCGCUAGAACAUCCUCAGAAUGACGAGUGAUCGGAAUUGCUUGGCAAAACAGAGAUAUUGCCAAAGAGGCUGAUCUAAGAAGGGGUUAAACUGUCAAUCAUUUUUGUUAUGAAUUUUUGCCAUUCUGCAUUUUGUUUCGGGAUCACAUCUCCUCCUUGAACGAAACAUGUCUUUCCUUUGUCUUCCUGUUGUUUUGAAAUCAAGAGAUGCUUCUUUCAAAGGGUAUUUUUACAAAAUAUUUUGAUCAAGCUCCAACAUGCGAUUAAGAUUAAUCAAUCCUGAAGAUUAAAAGUAUUUUGAUUGCAGAAAUAACUUGAUGCUUGAAAAUGACAUGAGGUGACCAAACAAUUUUUGAACUCAUACUUCCUGAAACUGAACCACACAUCAUAUAGCUAGUUUUAGCAGUAUGCAUAAUGACAUGUAGUGGAUUCAAUAGUUAUGGACUCGUGAAUCAUGAUUCUUACAAGUCCAAAUCAUUGCACUGGAUGAGGUCAAAAUUUAUCGAUUCUAACCGACCUUGCUUGAAAUGAGAAAAGGCCAUCUUUGUUAUACUUUCACAUUUCUUGAAAUAUUAUCCCUUGCAGUCCCAUUUUGAGCCUGGUAAAGUAUUUUCUUUCAAAAAGAAACCCUGACUAGGAUCACACCCUACAUUGGGGAAAAAUGAGAGAUAUUUUGAAGACACUGAUUGGACUAAUGGAUAAAAGAAAGGCUUAGAACAAAAGUCAAAUGAUUGAGAAAGGGCUAGAAGAAUAAAAGCCAUAGAUUGAGGGCCAUCCAAGAAAACUUUGAGGAAGGCUGUGAGAAAGCAAAAAAAAAAAGAAAAGAAAAAAAAGAGAUUGAAAAAAGAAGAAGUUGAAUCUGCCUUCACUUAAAGGCAAGUCAAAGAUAAAGGAAGGAGAAUGCCUAUCAAUUCUAAGAGUGGCAAAAGAGGUUUCAAUUGAAGAAAGACACAACAAAUGCCAAAAGUCAACACUAAAAAAAUCAAGUUUCAUGUUUUUUGGUGUGUCUAGGAUAAAGCCUUUAGUGUCUUUAAAAAAAAAUUUUUAGAUUGAUUAUUCAUCAUAGAAAAAGUUGGAUUUACAUUAUGACCUAUGUUAAGAGAAUUCUGAUCUUUGAGAUUAACAAGGUUAUAUGUCACUUUCUCCACAAUGACAACAAGAAAGAGAGUUGAUGAAUAGUUGAUGUUGAUCCUAAGUCUUUGAAAUCCUCAAACACUUUUUGAGCUUGUGAAAUUCCUUUCUUUCAUAGCCAUGAACCAUAGCUUGCAUUAUGUGCUUUUAAAAGCCCUUUUUAAUCAAGUAAGCAAUCUGAACCGAUAAAUGGCGAUCUCAAAACUUGAAGAGUUUUCCAUAAGAGUCAUAGCUUCAUGGAUUAAGCUAAUGGUUAUUAUGCAUGCUGAUAAAAUUGGUGUUAAAAAAAAAAAACAAUCUUUCUUGAUAAGUCCUCAAGUUUUGACUUGUGUCUUUUGUUUUUUGAAAUUCACAGAAGGUCACCUCAUCAUAGACCAUCAAAAGAUAUACCCGAAAUCAGAGUCUAAAAUGGAUACAAAGAACCAUGAAAAAAAAAACCAUUUUAGUCUUACAAUGGGUCAAUUUCUGUUUUCAAAAUACAUGACAAUCAAAGGACUGUAUAUUUCGAAUAACGUGUGUUGGAUCUUUGACCGAAGAAACUUGAUUUUCAAAAACUGACAUCUCUCUGAUUUCAUUUCAACAAUUAGACUUGAAUUGACAUGAUCUUUGAAAUAUGAGAGUUGAUUCCAGAACAAGAAAGAUUGUUAAACAACAAGAACAUCGACCGAAUUUGCAAAAUCCUUGACAAGAAUGACAUCAACACUUCUUGACACUCCUUGAAAAGUUGACCACCUGGAGGCAAUACAGUGGAUCAUGGGUAGGAAAACAAGCAGUAUUUAGAUCAGCUGGGGGCAAUUAAAGAUGAUCAAAUGAUGAAUCAAUGCACUAAGGACAAUAGUGUUUAAAGAAAGCUAAUCAGCAGGACAAACAUUCAGAUCAUUACUGGGGGCAAUGUUGUUCAAAGAUAGUCCAUGAUCUAGUGAACCCCGUCAACAAUCGGGAAAGCAAAGAUACACUUCAAGGAAAUCUUUUGAAACAUGGCUAUCGACCGAUGUGGGCAUACAGUUGCAUUCGAACGAAUAUGAAAAGAUGCACACCACCAAGAUUGAUUGCGGAACAAUGUUGUACUUGAAGGAUAAUGUCAUAUUAUCAUCUCCAACUUGGCUAUGACUUUUGAACGAUGUUAUCGCAUAGUUGUGAAUAUUGGAAGGAUGCACUCACCAAGACUGACUGUGGGACCAUAUGUUUUGGAGCUCAAUGCGCACUUCACCGUAUGAAUAUGGGUGAUAACAUGAACAUCAUUGAUGAUGUCGAGACAUUUCUUUUCACUAUCUGAUUUGACAAGCUGAGAGAAAUCCAUGAGAAAGAACAUUGAGCAUACAACGAUGAGUCUUUCACUGCAAGCUAUGAGAUGCAUGUCUGGACGAUUGGAUAAUUUCCAUGAAGACUGGUGAUAACAUUACUUGAAGAGUAUUGUUUCAGCUUGAGGCAAGUUUAUGACUGAUGGACAAUCAUGAUGGGUGUUGGCAUGAUGCACACAACCAAUCAGAGGAUAAUUCUUAGAAGAAUCCAGGAGAGAAAAUCCUUCACGAUGAAUCAAGCAACACCACACUUGGGGGCAGAGUCAAGCUUGAUAAACCACAAGAGCAGUAACCGUUGAAGACAGCCUAGAUUGGGCACUGCACUUACAACUGAGUGGAUGGCUAGCACAUGAAUGAGUCAGUACAUGGGAAGGACAAAUAAAGCUUUGGAAUGCAAACAAAGGCACCCUGUGAUGAUGGAACAUCGAAGAGAGGGGACCUAUAUUUCACAUCAGGUAAGGAUGCAUGCAUGUCAUCUAACCUCAAAGCAUUGCACAUACUUAUGAUUUGUUACAGAAAGAUCCUCAAUGAAGUCCAGCAAGAUUGUGGACAAAGAAAGAAUCAUUGAGUUGAUAACAGAGAAUCAUGGUUGUGACCUUGAAACGGGAAGAAGAUGAGAUAAACCUUACUGUUAGGAAAAUCUCAAAGAAAUGAAAAGAUCAACCUUGCAAUCAGGAAGCAUCGAGUUUUCAAACCCUGCGAUCAAGAAUUAUCAAGAAGCACCAAGUUUUCUGGCCCUUCUUCUAUCAUCCCUUCAGGACUUCGCCAGGUAAGUCCCAUUUCUCACACUUGUCACAUCACAUCUUUCAUUUGGGUAGGUCACCCAUAACAAUGAGACCACUUCAUAUUUUUUCUAUCCUCCACCUGGGUAGGUCACCCAUAACAAUGAGACCACUUCAUAUUUGUUCUAUCUUCCAUCUGGGUAGGUCACCCAUUAUAACGCGACCACUUCACAUUUUUUCUAUCUUCCAUCUGGGUAGGUCACCCAUAACAAUGAGACCACUUCACAUUUUUUCUAUCUUCCACCUGGGUAGGUCACCCAUAACAAUGAGACCACUUCACAUUUUUCUAUCUUCCAUCUGGGUAGGUCACCCAUUACAAUGAGACCACUUCAUAUUUUUUCUAUCCUCCACCUGGGUAGGUCACCCAUAAUAAUGAGACCACUUCAUAUUUGUUCUAUCUUCCAUCUGGGUAGGUCACCCAUUAUAACGCGACCACUUCACAUUUUUUCUAUCUUCCACCUGGGUAGGUCACCCAUUAUAACGCGACCACUUCACAUUUUUUCUAUCUUCCACCUGGGUAGGUCACCCAUUAUAAUGAGACCGCACUUCACAUUCUUUCCAUUUGGGUAGGUCACCCAUCAUAAUGAGACCGUUUUCCAUCAUUUUUUCUUGGGUUCGUCACCCAUACAAUGAGACCAUCAUUUUUUUUCUUGGGUUCGUCACCCAUACAAUGAGACCAUCAUUUUUUUUCUUGGGUUAGUCACCCAUACAAUGAGACCAUCAUUUUUCUGGGGUUCGUCACCCAUACAAUGAGACCACCAUUUUUCUGGGGUUCGUCACCCAUACAAUGAGACCACCAUUUUUCUGGGGUUCGUCACCCAUACAAUGAGACCAUCAUUUUUCUUGGGUUCGUCACCCAUACAAUGAGACCAUCAUUUUUCUUGGGUUUGUCACCCAUACAAUGAGACCAUUUGUUCCACAUUCUUUGUUUUGGUUUAAUGAGGUCGCCAGAUGAGAUCUCAUGUAGCUUUGGUUAAAGGGAAUCGCCAGAUGGGAUUUCAGGUUAACCGAGUUACGUCACAUUUUUUAGUUCCAGUUGAAUGAGGUUGCCAGAUGGAAUCUCAUGUAGCUUUGGUUAAAGGGAAUCGCCAGAUGGGAUUUCAGGUUGACCGAGCUACCACACAUUUUUUAGUUCCAGUUGAAUGAGGUUGCCAGAUGGAAUCUCAUGUAGCUUUGGUUAAAGGGAAUCGCCAGAUGGGAUUUCAGGUUGACCGAGCUACCACACAUUUUUUUAAGUUCAAGUUGAAUGAGGUCGCCAGAUGGGAUCUCAUGUAGCUUUGGUUAAAGGGAAUCGCCAGAUGGGAUUUCAGGUUGACCGAGCUACACACAUUCUUUGGUUUUGAAAAAGAAGAUCGCCAGAUGGGAUCUCAAGUUAACGAAAAAAAAGAAAAAGAAACAUUUAGAGUUUUUCUUUACAAAGCUUACUAUGCGAAACAUUGAGGAGUUUUGCUUCGUAAGCAUUGUAAAGAGGGGGCAUCUGUUGCUACCCAAUUUUUGACCCAUGUUUUGAUAAAUUUUUUAAAAAAUCCAAAAAUAGCGAAAAACAUUGAAAAUCCAAAAAAAUACAUUUUUAAUACAUUUGCAUCGUUUUUAGCAUUUUUAGCAUCAUCUUAAAAGAAUUUAAAUUUUCAACGACAUUUGGAACGCGUUCAACUUUUAACGCGUUAUUUUUAAAAUCAUUGAUUUUCUUCAUUGAGUCGACGUUGAUAUUGCUCGUUUUCAAAAAUACAAAAAAAUUAAGAAAAAUCAAAUUUUACAAAAAAGAAAGAAAGUUGAGGGACCAAUUUUGAGAUCCAUGCAACAUUUUACCUAUAAAUACUGGUUCACAACUCAAACAAAAGGGGGGGGGUAAUUUUGAAAUUUGAGGGGAGAGGCAACACAAAAACAGAAACCCUAAAAGCCUAAUUUUUUCUCCCCUCACGGGGGAGGCAGCCGCCAGCCCCCCACCGUUUGAUUUUUCUCUUCUCCCUCACCGAAAGAGAGAGCCGCCAGCCCCCCCUGGAUUAUUUUUCUCUUCUCCCUCAACCGGACAACCGAUCUUCCCCACCCUCACAAAUCAGCCUCACCGAAACCCACUGACCAGACGAUUUUCCUCCUCCCCUUGUCCUCUGCCAAACACAAACCAGGCCACACCCUUCUUCCCCUCACAGGAGCUAAACCUUCACCCAGCCAUACUCUCCCCUCAUCUCACCAGGGCUGUUCCUUCACAGCCGGUUUUCCCUCAGCCACUGUGAACGCCAUCUCCAGCCGCUCCCCCAUUUCAACAGAUCUUCCCUCUCAGCUGCUCCCUUCUCCAGCCGCCAGCUCGCCAGACCAAAAGGAGGGCAGAGCCGUUCCCCUUCGUUCUCCCCUCUCGUCGGCCGCCUCCUCAUCUUCCCCGAUCUCUUCAUCUCCAUCAACACCGAAGCUUCAUCCAGCAGCAGCCAACACACGGCAGCACCCACAGAGUCAACAGCCGUUCCCAUCUCCACCCGACAAACCCAGCAGACCCGAACCGGCCACCAGCUGCUGCACAGCCAUCGCCGCCCAAACGCCAGACCUGCCACCCAAAGCAGAGGAGAAGACGAAACCCACAACAAAUUGACCCGCCGUGUAGUCGAAGAAGGAGAAGGGAGAGAAGCCGAUCUGGACCAAAAAGAAAAAAUUAAAAUCAACUGCUGUUGUGCGUUGUUUCUCCUUGUUGCAGGUGACGGUGACCUUCACCGCCGACGUAGGGAGACAGAGAAGAAGAAGAGGUUCCCGAUCCACCGGUUUCUGCCACCUUCAUCGGCGGCGGCGCGUGGAACCACGCGCCGCCAGUGACGCCACUGUUCUGGCAGCUCCAGAAGUCGGCCUGACACUGUUCCGGGUUGUUUGGUUCAUUUUGUAAUUUUCAAAUUGUUUAAUGUAAUAUUUGUGUAAUUUUGAGUUUUUUUUUAUAAUUUGUACUUUGUGUAAAUGUGGAGGAAAAAGAAAAAAAGAAAAGAAAAGAAAAGAAAAGAAAAAAACAAAUAUUAAUAGAAAAAGAGUUGUGCGUGUUUUGUUUUUUUGUUAUGUAUAUUAUUGAAUAAAAAGAAAAAAAAUGAAUUUAAUUUAUAUGCACAAAUAUCUAAAGGACAGAUAAAAAUCAUGUUGUAUUUUCCAUAAAAAUGUAGAACAUGUAUCUACAUAUAUUUUGGGAACUAAUAACUGAUUUAUCAAAGCCUUAGAAUUGGGCUAAAAUUUUAUUUUUAAAACGCAUCAAGUCCACGAAGCAGCUUACCUCAGGUAGGGUGCGUUAGGGGUGCGAAUACCUUCCCUAACCACAACCAGUCCCUUACCCGCGAAUCUUUGACAAGACCAGUACAUCAGGUUUCCUAGUAGCCCUCAAUAAAUUACUAGGUGGCGACUCCAACGAACCAAUCAAAGCAAAAUGAACAAACGAAAAAUCGCCAGCAGAUGCCGCGCGGAUUUUGACGUGCGACAAAGGGUUGGAAAACCUUGGUCAAGAAUCGUCAAUAAUGAAGAAGGCGAGAUCGAAGGAGAAGACAAGGAAACGCAAGUGGGGAAGGAAGAUGAAGCAUUGCCUCGGUUGACUUUACAGAACGGGUUGACCCAAGAACUUCUCGUAGUUUUCAAAAUGUAAAACAACUUUAUUUGCCUUAGCAUGUUUUUGUCAUUUGCUUUUGUCAUUGCUUUUAUUUUCUCUGUUGGGCAAUCAGGGCUCAUGUUUUCAGCCAGAUUUUAUGUUUGUCUUUGAGCCUACCUUUUUUUUAAUAAAUGAUGAGAUUAUGCAUUUUUUUGAACAAGUUUGAGUGGUUAUAUCAUAAAAUGGUUUAAUAUAAAAUUUAAGAAAAGCUAACCCUAAAGUACAUCCCUACCUCUGAUAGCGUAAUGAAUGGAUAAAUGAUUAAGUGGUCACUUUAUAAUCAUCUGUAAUUGUCUUUAUCAACCAUAACAAUGUGCAUUUUGAAAAAAAAAAAAAAAUUCAUCAUUAUCCCUUCACGCACUAAAAAAGUUUAUCUUUGGCUGAAUGAAUUUCUUCUCUAUAAAAGCCCAGACUAGGAUCACACCCCUACACUGGGGGCAAAACGAGUUGUUUUUUGAAAAGUUUUACGUGUUUAAAAUUGGUUGGAAGCCCAUUAGAUUUGAAAACCAAGCUAAAACAUUUGACAAAAGCAUGACAAAGAGGCAAAUACAAGUCAUACAUUUUGAGAAAAGGACUACUUGAAAGACUUCUUCUCCAAGAAUAUGAUAGGCAACACGAGAGAUGAAUUCAGCAUACGACUUCAAAAGUAAAGCUCAUGUUAAGAGGGAGUCUCAUGAACUAGAAGAAGAGGAUGGGGCCUAUGUUUCAAAACCAGGUACGAAUGCAUGCAUUGCAUCUAAUCAUAAAUCAUUGCAUGUAUGUUUUUUGGAUCGUUACAGAAGGAGAUCUUAGCGCAUUCCAACAAGAUUAUGGACGAAGAAAGAAUCAUUGAGUUGAUUCUAGAACAUACAAGAAGAGAAGAUAAUGGUUUUCAAACCAUGCUAGCAGGAAGAACGACAUCGAUAGCAUUCGAUAAAAAGGAAUCGCCAAAUGGGAUUUCAAGUUGUUGAGAUCGCCAGAAGGGAUCUCGUAUUUCGAUGGAGGUCGCCAGAAGGGACCUUAAAUUUCGGCUUUUGUAUAAAAGGAAUCGCCAGAUGGGAUUCCAAGUUGUUUGGAUAAAGGAGAUCGCAAGAAGGGAUCUUGUAUUUCGAUGAAGGUCGCCAGAAGGAACUUCAUGUUUUAGCUUUGGUAAAAGGAAUUGCCCGAUGGGAUUCCAAGUUAUUUGAGAUCACCAGAAAGGAUCUCGUACUUCGACAUUCAUCAAGGAAGGUCGCUAGAAGGGACCUCGUAUUGAAACUAUUUCUUAGAAAAGCAUGGAGUUUACUAAGAAUUCUUCCCCUUGGGUAGGUCACCCAUACAAUGAGACCAUUAUUUUUCUUGGGUAGGUCACCCAUACAAUGAGACCAUCAUUUUUCUUGGGUUCGUCACCCAUACAAUGAGACCAUUAUUUUUCUUGGGUAGGUCACCCAUACAAUGAGACCAUCAUUUUUCUUGGGUUCGUCACCCAUACAAUGAGACCAUCAUUUUUCCUGGGUAGGUCACCCAUACAAUGAGACCAUUCUUCAUCUUUUUUUACCUGGGUAGGUCACCCAUAAUAAUGAGACCACUCUUUCCUUCUCCCAUUCGGGCGGGUCACCCAUCAUAAUGAGACCACAAACGUGUUUUUGUAUUUGGUUAUGGGUAAAGGAAUCGCCAGAUGAGAUUCCAAGUUUUUGGGGUUAAAGGAGAUCACCAGAAGGGAUCUCGAGAUGACUAAAUUUUGAUCAUAGUUUAUGGGAUUCCAAGUUGAGGAGGAUUGCUAUAAAAGACAAGUUUCAGAUCAAUCAAGCUUCAAACUAAUCAGUUUCGGGACUGUUUUGGGUUUAUCUUUAUAAAACUUACUGCGCAAAACCUCUGCUCCGUAAGCAUUAUAAAGAGGGGGCAUCUGUUGUAACCCAUUUUUGGGUCCCCACAAAAUAUAUACAAAAAUAUAUAGCCAAAGGAGUUUAGAAAAAUAAUAAGAGGUGGGAGCGCUCAGAAAGAAUCAGAAAAAAAUUCAUUGAGGAGAUUCAGAAAUACAAGGAGUGAAAUUUUACAGUAUAUAUUUGACUGAGGAGAGCCCUGUUGGAAGAGAAAAUUUAAUUUGAAGAGAAAAGGGCCAAAAUUGGAUGUUUAUGGACUCAAUUGGAUUUUAUUGAAGGUUUAUUUGAAUUUAUAGAGGUUUUGAUUGCAAGGAAAAUUGAGUUUUAAGUCAAUUUAGGCUUUAAUUGGAAGAAAUUAAAGUUCUGAGGUCAAAUUAUAAUUUUUGAGAGUUGAUUUGGUUAAAUCAAGGGCUUAAUUGCAUAAAUAUUGAAGUUUAAGGGCCAAUUAGGGAAUUAAUUGAAGAAAUUCAAAACCAAGGACCACAUUGGAAAAGGCGUGCAAGUAUAGGGGCUGCAAUUAACAAAAUCCGGGGGCCAAAUUGAAGAAAUUGAAAGUUUAAUGGUCAAGUAGGGAUGAGAUUGAACGAAACUGAAAGUCGGAGGACUAAAUUGAGAAUUGGCAAAGAAAUCCCUAUUUUUAUCAAAAACGGCGCCGUUUUGCAUUUUUUUUAAAAAAAAAAAAGAACCAGUUACUGUUCAUUUUCUUCCCCACCAAGCUGCCCGAGUGGCCGACUUCCAGGCGUGUUUUCUGCCUCGUUUGGCCCCCAAAUCCGACAAAAAAUGCGCCAACAUCUCCACCUGAAACCCCUUUAUCCCGGAGAAUGGUCCGGUCGGGUCGAAAAAUUUAGAAACGGCUCCGUUGAGUGGCUCUAAGUGGCCACCUCGGGCAGUUCACAGCCUUGAGCUGCCAAAUUUGGCAGCUCGAGGUGCACACUUUGAACCAACGGUUUGGAUUCCUCGAGUCGAAUCAAGGGCUGAGAAUUUUUCCCCAUUGAAGACAAGAUUACCCUCUUUCCAGCCCUAGGAGAAAUUUUCAUGCUGAAACGGUUGGCAGGAGGGAGCUCAAAAUUGGGAUAAAAUCAGCUUUUCCUGCUCGGUUUUCCUGCAACCAGCCUUCUCUUUCUUUUUUUUCUCUCCGCCGUGGCUUCCAGCCGCCACCACUGAUCUCUCCACUGUCCUUACCACAAAACACCACAUCCCAUCCAUCACCCAGCAGCCUCACCACAGGCCACAGUACCCCUCUUUUCCUCCCUCUCCUCUCUACAAAAAUCUCCUCCUCUGCCAUCGUGAUUCAGACAGCCUCCACACCGACAGCAGAGGUAGCAACCAUCUUGCCCAAAAGCUCUCUUCCACUCCUACCAGCAGCAACCGGAGUAACAGCUCCUUCCUCAGUCACACCAACAGAUCCAGCCGAGAGCUUUCCUUCUCCUCUGCAGGAAUCUGCUCCUGCUUCUUUCAGCCGGGACUAGUGCACGCCUGUCGCCACCCAGCGCCACCGUGAGCCAUAGCCGGAGACAGCAGCCACGAUCACUCAUUCCAGGUACCUCUCCUCUCCCUUUUUUCUGUCCCCUCUUCCCUGUUGUUUUCCUCGGCAUGCAGAACGUGAAUUCACGUUCUGCAGCAAUGGAAAUAUAAUUAGCUGGUUACUGUGCGCUGCACAGUAACCAGCUAAUUAUAAGCACCUGGUUAAUAUGCGCGGUUACUGUACAGGUCAUUAUAUAUUAUGUAUAUUAUAUUGUGUUUUGUUUAUUUAUAUAUAGAUAUAUAUAUAUAAAAAAAUUUAAUUAAUUUCUUCGAAAAAUUAUUUCAAAAAAUAUGUGAUUUUAUGUAAUUUUUAUUACUGUAUUUUGAUCAAUAUCGGUUUGUAUUUUUAUACUGUAAAGAUACAAAUCCGGUAUUAAAAUACCCGGUUUUCGUCAAGACAUAAAAAAAAAAUGUUUUGUUUUCAUGCAUACGGCCUAGUCUCUCCAACAUAUAUAUAUAAAUAUUAUAACAUCAUAUUUUUCACACAACAAAGAAAAUUUCAAAACAAUAUAUGUAUUAGCAUGCAUUUUGGCUUUAAUAACCAGUUUAUUCAAGCCAUGAGAACUAGGCCAAUAUUUCAAAAAUUCUAAAAAAAUAUUUUUGUCCUCUUUUAGUAUAUGGGAUUACGAAUUUAUACGUAAAACGUAUUCCUGAUGUUAAAAAUAUGAUUUUACAUAGACGUUAGAACGGUUAGGUUUUACCCGAUAAGAUAAGAACCUCCUUAUUGAGGAGGACUUUUCUUGAACCAUAGACGGACCAACAACUAGGAAACAUAACGAGAACUUGAAUUUUAUCAGACAAAUAAACAAUGCAGCUUACCUUAGGUAGGGCGUAUUUGGGGUGCUAAUACCUUCCCUUUACGCAACCAGUCCCCGUACCCAAUCUCUGAGACCAGUUAGGGUUCCUAGUGACCAAAAUACUAGGUGGCGACUCCCAUUCCAUUUUCUUCCAACAAAAGACAAUAUUUUCUUGUCUCCCCACAUUUGCCAGAUAAAUAUCAUACACACUUCCUAGUUUUAAAAGUGGAAUACUCGUCGCGACGCCGCGCACCCGCGACAAUAGUAAAUAUUUUAAUAGCCUUGAGUCAAGUAGCAUGCUAGACCCAAGGUGUUUAGGUCUGGCGUAGUUGUCAAACCCAAGUCUCUUGGGUCUGGAGUGGUUGUCAGACCCAAGUAGCUUGGGUUAGGCAUGGUAGCCAGACCCAAGGCGCUUGGGUCUGACAAUAACACCAGACGCAAGCUACUUUUUUUUUAUCUUUUCUGAGGCUAAAAGUGUUAUUUUAUUAUAUAUGAAAAUUGUAAAAACUUGAAAUACCCUUUUUUGGGAGCAUAUCCUUUUUUAUUAUUAUUUUGGGGACAAAUAAGUAUUUUUAUUGUUAUGAAUAUUGUGAAAAACCAAGAAAGUCCUUGGUCAACAGUUCUAAUUUUUGUUGACUUUAGGGGUAAAAGAGUACUUUAAUUGUGUCUCAAGCACCUUGGGUCUGACAGUCUUGCCAGACCUGCGCACAAUAAACUAGUGGGAUAAUUAUGCACUUUAGUUGUCAGGAGAGAGAAAAUAAAGAAAGAACGCAAACAAUCAAUCACCAAGGGGCAAUCCAAUCAUUAUCUGGCUACGCGCGCUAUACCAUUUGCAAGAGGGCACGACUAUGCUUCUAAUUAGAUGGUGGUUGGCCAGAUUUGACCACUGAGAAGCAUCAUACGCGUCUCCUUAAUGGCAUGGGCACUGCCCAUUUGCUAGGGCAUGAGGAACACUAGCCCGCAACUUUUUGAUUAAAAAAUAACAAGUACAUCGUGACAAUACUAUAAAAUGCGUCGUUUCAUUUAUAUAUGAUAUGGCGCCAACACGUCAACUUCCAAAUCAAUCCCCAAUUUAUCCUUUGUCCGCUCAAGUCCUCAAAUGCAAUUUUGAUUUUAAGAAUCAAUUCAAUUACAUCCCUGCCAACUUCAAUCGCCGGCCCUAUAGUUGGUCGUCUUUCCCACUUUCGUCCUUGGUUUCUGAUUUAUGCAAUUUGACUCUCAAUUGAUCAAUAAACUUUUAAUUCUUCAAUUUGGCCCCUGAUUUGGUUAAUUACAGCCCCUCUAUUUACGCGUCUUUUCUAGUUUGGUCCUUGGUUUUGGAUUUCUUCAAUUAGGUCCCUAAUUGGCCAUCAAACUUCAAUAUUUAUGCAAUUAAGCCCCUGAUUUGACCAAAUUAACUCUCAAAAAUUAUAAUUUGACCCCAUAACUUUAAUUUAUUCCAAUUAAAGCCCAAAUUGACUUAAAAAUUAAUUUUUCUUGCAAUUAAACCCUCUAUAAAUUCAAUUAAACUUUCAAUAAAUCCAAUUGAGUCUAUAAACAUCCAAUUUUGGACUUUUCUCCCCAAAUUGAAUUUUCUUUUCCAACAAGGCUCUCAUCAUUCAAGUAUAUACUGUCAAAAUUUCAAUCCUUGUAUUUUUGAACCUCCUUAAUCAAUUUUUCUGACCAUUUUCUGAGCACUCCAACCUCCUACUGUUAUUUCCAAUUUCUUCCGACCAUAUAUUUAUAUUUAUUUUUAUUAUUAUAUUUUUAUUUUUAUUUUUUGUAUGGGGACCCAAAAAUGGGUUACAACACAAACAAUCGAUCACCAGCGAUAAUCCAACCAUUAUCUAGCUACACGUGCCACACUAUGUGAAAGAGGGCACGACUACGCUUCCAAUUAGAUGGCGAUUGAUCAUAUUUGGCUACUAGGAAGAGUCCUAUGCACCUCCUUAGUGGCACGGGCACUGCGCGCUCGUUAGGGCGUGAGGAAUACUGGCCCGCAGCUUUUCAAUUAAAAAUAAUAAAUACAUCAGAUCGUGAACAUACUAAAACGCCCUCAUGGUCCUUUUAAUUACACAAACAUCCAUAUAAAAAUACCAAAAUAUCCCCGAAUGUAAAGUUUUUUUUUUUUGAAGCUAAAAGCAUUAUAUGACUGUACUUGGAAAUUGAAAAAAUCCGAAUACCCUUGUAAUAGAAAGUCAAAGAAACAUCUCGUGAAAAUAUGAGAAAUUAAAAGUAAAACGACUAUUAUAAUCUACAGUAAAAAAUCUUUUAAUCUAUAGUGAUUUCCUCACACCAUUUAGUUUUUGUUAUAAUUGAGUUGUUCUCGUGAAAAUAUUGGAAUUUAUAAAUAAUUUUUAUACAAGGUGUCUUAUAUCUAUGUAAGAAUGAGAAGUAUAAUUUAGGAUUAUCUAAGUGGUAUGGUUGAGGGUAAGUAUGUACGAAGUAAUCACAUCUAACACUAUCUUCUUUAACCAUGUUGAGCGCGACAUGACAUGAAUGGAAGAUGGUUACGUGAAUAUGCUUUUAGGGGCUGUUUAUUUUUAUUUUAUUUUAAAAAAAAGCCAUGUUUUGUGAUUUUUUUUAAAAAAAAUAUUGUUUAAAAUUAAGUUUUUUAUAUUUUUAAAUAUGUCAAUAUCAAAAUUAAUUUUUAAAAAAUAAAAUAAAAAUAUUAUUUUCAUAUAUUUCUGAAUGAAAAGUAUUUUUAAAAAUAAUUGUUAUAUAUAACACUUAUAAACACUAUCUUAAUAUAUAAAUGACCCAGCAAGCUGAGAUUAUAUUAUGACUUGGGGUAAUCCUCAUAGUGUGGCUUGGUGAACAUGUAGGGUUUGGACAAUGCUUUCACCAUAGUGUGGCUUGACAUAAACUUAGGAAGAGUACACGAAGAUGCCUUUCGUCUAUAAAGGACCCAGCAAGUUGGAGUAUGGAGUAUAUAUUGAUUAUUCUUUUGUAUUGACUUGGAGUCAACGUGCAUGGAAGCAAGUUGAGUAUAAAAGGAUCCAGAGAGGCGAUAUUUAUGGAGUAACGUCGCCUACAAGUCUACAAUGGUGUACUAAGGAGGCUAAAAUUAACGGUGCUGGUAAUAUUAAGUACAAAACUAAAAUGUGUGAGUUUUUUUUACCGUGUAUUCAUAUAUUAUUAUGGAUUAAAUGUGUAAACUCUUGAGGUUUUUUCUUUUAAAUUAAUGAAAAAACAUAUAUGAAUUGGAUUGAUUUUUUAUUUUAGGUUGAUUUUAGUUUUUAGAACAGUUUUUUAAAGUCAAUGAUAGAUUUAUCAUGGUUCCUAAGAUAUUUUGAAGGUAUUUUAAGUAAACAAUUUGAAAAUGAGUUUUUAGAUAAAAAAAGUUAAGCCCUGAUUUUCCAGCCAUUGUGGUGACCGGAAUAUAAGCAAAUCAAACACCUUGUCCUCUAUUUUUUUUUCAAAAAAAAAUUAGGACGGAAGACAUGCUACAAAAAAAAUAAGAGCUCAAUCACGGGGGGUCUGCCACUGCAGGCUCACAUGGGGAACCUAACAAAAUGGGUGAGCCUGGCUUUUUUUUUUGUAAAUUUUUUUUUAAUUUGUUUUGUUUUUUUCUCUAUUUUUUUUCAUUUUUCAGAUUAUAUUUAUAAUAUGUGCAACCGCGCAUGGUGUUUUUUUCCUCUUUUAUUUUAUUCAAUCAAUUUAAUUUAUAUCUUUAUUUUUAUUAUCAUUUUUUUUAAUAAAAAAAAUAUCUUAAUAAAUAAAUUUAGCAAAUACAAUUAAAUAAUUUUUUUAUAUUUUAAAAUUAAAUAUGUUGAUGUGCAUCGAAAUCUUAAUUUUCAAAGCUUUAUACUUUUCGAAGCUUUAUACCUUAGAAAAUGAUACCUCAAUUUUGUACUUAUGAACUAUGUUUUGCUUGGAAACCUCUGAAGGUGGAGCCUGUCACCGUGAGUCAACAGCUAGUCUUCAGCUUUAUAUAUUAAUGCAUAUUAUUAAUUAAAGCAUAUUAUUAUCUUCCAUCAUAUGCGUGGAUAGAAUGCACUCUUACUUUUCAAAGGUGGCUUAGUCAAUAAUGCGAAGUAUUUGAUACGUUCGUUAAUUAUCUUGGGCACGGGAGGACUUAAUUUCAAGAAUAUAUAGUUCCCUUCGAAUGCUGCUAAAAAUCAUGGUGGCUAUAAACAAGAGCGCGGUGGAUAGGAGGAGAGCAUAACCAUUUUAGUUAGUCACAUAUAUUUCCAAGAUGAAGGCCUUUCUUAUCGCAUGCUUUCUCUUAGCUACCAUCGUCUUCUCUCCCCUAUCCACUUGCACUGCUCGAGAAUUGGCCGAGCGAGGUGAGAUUUUAUUUCCAUCAUUAACUUCAGAAAACCAGUUCAUUUUGUGCGUGUGUGCGUGUAGUCUCUUUGUGUAUUGCAAACAAUUUUUUGUUAUAAAACUGAUGAGUCAACCUUUACUUCUACUUCCGGCAUUAAUUAACUGGAGAUAAUCAUUAAUUUCAUGUUUUGUAUGCAUAUAUUAUUUAAUUAUUCUGUCGUGGCCUAUCUUAUAUAUAAAAAGAUGAUUCUGCUAUAAUAUCAGAUUAUGUCAACAUGAAUCUUGCAGACGUAUCCCGGGGAGCUCUCAACCCCCAUAAACCAGUGUACGGUUGCGGAAGGGGUAAUCGAUAUUGCGUACCUAAAACACCAAGAGGUUGCCCAAAUCCUUACAAGCGUAAUUGUGGGCGCCAUUAAGAUUAGAAGAAAGCAAAGUUGAGUACUGCUUAAAAGUAUGGAGAGCUAUACUACUAUCUUUAUCAAUAUGUAAAAUGAUCAGAACUAUUUAUGUGAGAAAAAUAAGCAAAGUUCUCCAGUGGAUUAGAAGAAGCAAGCAAAGUUGUCUGCUUAAAAAGUAUGGACGGCUCAUCGUGUCUCUAUCAAUAUGUAAAAUGUUAUUUUGAUAUGGGAA
rnacentral:lncRNA from 1 species